rnacentral:tRNA from 1 species
GCCCUGGUAGCUCAGCGGUAGAGCACCGCUUUCGUAAAGCGGGGGUCGUGAGUUCAAAUCUCACCCGGGGCUCCA